ACCCUGUUUGAAAAGAAUGAAAGCCAUGCAGAAAGUCUGUUUGUUUAAUAAUACAAUAAGGAAGCUUUCAAAAAAUGGGAAUAGAGUUUUAUAGUACAUAUGAGAAAAUGGUGAAAAAGCAAAGUUUAACGUACGGAAGUUGGAUGAUGGAACAAUAUCCCUAAAAGGGAUUUGCCCUUCACUGAGCGUCACUUCGGCGGAUCGAUCCAUCUAUGCGACGUCGCUCCUCUUAUUUUUUGAACAGCGACCUGCCCGGGACUGGUGACACGGUUUGGCACUUCGCCUUCUGACAACCAACUCACGGCAACGGUGGCCUAUAAUCGAGUUUGAAAACAAGGAAUAAGCCAUUAAAAAAGUAAAAGAAACUGGGGAGGGGGACAAAGAGGAUUGGUUGGAAAACCAAAAAGUUUUGUGAUGGGAAAAAGAAAGAUGGCACGUAGUGCUGUAGUCUCUUAUUAGAUCAAUAAAUAAAUACACUGGA